CACUUACGCGAUAUUGGCACAAUGGAGAAGUCUGAUCCAGCCAUUCCGCGUGCAGGGAUGAAGGCCUUCGGGUUGUAAACCGUCUUUUGUACGGAAAGAAAACGCUUUUUACUUAAUACUAGAAGCCCAGUGACGGUCACCGUGAUGAAUAAGCACCGGCUAACUACGUGCCAGCAGCCGCGGUAAUACGUAGGGUGCCAAGCGUUAAUCGGAAUUACUGGGCGUAAAGCGUGCGCAGGCGGUUAUGUAAGUCAGAUGUGAAAUCCCCGAGCUCAACCUGGUGAACUGCAUUUGAGACUGCAUACGGCUAGAGUUCGGCAGAGGGGGAUGGAAUUCCGCGUGUAGCAGUGAAAUGCGUAGAGAUGCGGAGGAACACCGAUGGCGAAGGUCAAUCCCCUGGGACCUGUACUGACGCUCAUGCAACGAAAGCGUGGGGAGCAAACAGGAUUAAGAUACCCUGGUAGUCCACGCCCUUAAACAUGUCAACGGGUU
rnacentral:rRNA from 1 species